UGGGGAAUCUUGCGCAAUGCGCGAAAGCGUGACGCAGCAACACCGCGUGAGGGAAGACGGCCUUAGGGUUGUAAACCUCUUUCAGAUGGGACGAAGGUUCGACGGUGAAUAGCCGAUCGGAUUGACGGUACCGUCAGAAGAAGCUCCGGCUAACUACGUGCCAGCAGCCGCGGUAAUACGUAGGGAGCGAGCGUUGUCCGGAAUCAUUGGGCGUAAAGAGCGCGUAGGUGGAUCAGUUAGUCUGCUGUGAAAGUCAAAGGCUCAACCUUUGAAAGCCGGUGGAUACUGUUGAUCUAGAGUACGGAAGAGGCGAGUGGAAUUCCUGGUGUAGCGGUGGAAUGCGCAGAUAUCAGGAGGAACACCAAUAGCGAAGGCAGCUCGCUGGGACGUUACUGACACU
rnacentral:rRNA from 1 species